rnacentral:rRNA from 1 species
UAACCGGCGAUUUCCGAAUGGGGAAACCCAGUGUGAUUCGUCACACUAUCAUUAACUGAAUCCAUAGGUUAAUGAGGCGAACCGGGGGAACUGAAACAUCUAAGUACCCCGAGGAAAAGAAAUCAACCGAGAUUCCCCCAGUAGCGGCGAGCGAACGGGGAGCAGCCCAGAGCCUGAAUCAGUGUGUGUGUUAGUGGAAGCGUCUGGAAAGGCGCGCGAUACAGGGUGACAGCCCCGUACACAAAAAUGCACAUAUUGUGAGCUCGAUGAGUAGGGCGGGACACGUGGUAUCCUGUCUGAAUAUGGGGGGCCCAUCCUCCAAGGCUAAAUACUCCUGACUGACCGAUAGUGAACCAGUACCGUGAGGGAAAGGCGAAAAGAACCCCGGCGAGGGGAGUGAAAAAGAACCUGAAACCGUGUACGUACAAGCAGUGGGAGCACGCUUAGGCGUGUGACUGCGUACCUUUUGUAUAAUGGGUCAGCGACUUAUAUUCUGUAGCAAGGUUAACCGAAUAGGGGAGCCGAAGGGAAACCGAGUCUUAACUGGGCGUUAAGUUGCAGGGUAUAGACCCGAAACCCGGUGAUCUAGCCAUGGGCAGGUUGAAGGUUGGGUAACACUAACUGGAGGACCGAACCGACUAAUGUUGAAAAAUUAGCGGAUGACUUGUGGCUGGGGGUGAAAGGCCAAUCAAACCGGGAGAUAGCUGGUUCUCCCCGAAAGCUAUUUAGGUAGCGCCUCGUGAAUUCAUCUCCGGGGGUAGAGCACUGUUUCGGCAAGGGGGUCAUCCCGACUUACCAACCCGAUGCAAACUGCGAAUACCGGAGAAUGUUAUCACG